rnacentral:rRNA from 1 species
UACGGGGGGGGCAAGCGUUGUUCGGAAUUACUGGGCGUAAAGGGCUCGUAGGUGGCCAACUAAGUCAGACGUGAAAUCCCUCGGCUUAACCGGGGAACUGCGUCUGAUACUGGAUGGCUUGAGUUCGGGAGAGGGAUGCGGAAUUCCAGGUGUAGCGGUGAAAUGCGUAGAUAUCAGGAGGAACACCGGUGGCGAAGGCGGGUCUCUGGGCCGUCAUUGACGCUGAGGAGCGAAAGCGUGGGGAGCGAACAGG